UAUAUUUAAAGAAGGAAUUGAUUUAAUAUUUUUUGAAAGGAUUUUUUUUUUAAUGAUUUUUUGAAAAUUUAUGGUUUUAGUUGUAGUAUUUAGUAAAAAAUAUAUAACACAGCAAAAACAUUCAAAUCAGAAUUUCAGUGGAUCUAUAUAGGCAUUUUAGAAGAAGUUAUGACUAAAAUGAUGGAGCAGUUAAGAGGAUCUGAUGGCUUUUUUAAAAAAAUAAUAAGAAAUAGAAAAAUUGAAAAAAAUUCUUAUGGAAUUUGUCAAAGGAAUGUUGCGUUAGGCUUCAUUUUAAGAUUUACGAUAAUGGCGCAUUUAUAAGAUUUAUAUUAAAAA